AGAGUUUGAUUCUGGCUCAGGAUGAACGCUAGCGGCAGGCCUAACACAUGCAAGUCGAGGGGUAACGAUGGCUUCGGCCAGGCGACGACCGGCGCACGGGUGAGUAACGCGUUUGUAACCUACCUCUAACUGGAAGAUAGCCCGAAGAAAUUCGGAUUAAUAUUCCAUAAUACUAUGAACUGGCAUCUUUUUAUAGUUAAAGCUCCGGCGGUUAGAGAUGGGCAUGCGUAACAUUAGCUUGUUGGUGAGGUAACAGCUCACCAAGGCUACGAUGUUUAGGGGGUCUGAGAGGAUGGUCCCCCACACUGGUACUGAGACACGGACCAGACUCCUACGGGAGGCAGCAGUGAGGAAUAUUGGUCAAUGGGCGAAAGCCUGAACCAGCCAUGCCGCGUGAAGGAUGACAGCGCUAUGCGUUGUAAACUUCUUUUGUACGAGAAGAAACGCUCCGACGUGUCGGAGUUUGACGGUACCGUACGAAUAAGCAUCGGCUAACUCCGUGCCAGCAGCCGCGGUAAUACGGAGGAUGCAAGCGUUAUCCGGAUUUAUUGGGUUUAAAGGGUACGUAGGCGGAAAAUUAAGUCAGUGGUGAAAUCCUGCAGCUUAACUGUAGAACUGUCAUUGAUACUGGUUUUCUUGAAUACAGUUGAGGUAGGCGGAAUGUGUAAUGUAGCGGUGAAAUGCUUAGAUAUUACACAGAACACCGAUUGCGAAGGCAGCUUACUAAACUGUUAUUGACGCUGAGGUACGAAAGCGUGGGGAGCGAACAGGAUUAGAUACCCUGGUAGUCCACGCCGUAAACGAUGAUCACUCGUUGUUGGCGAUACACAGUCAGCGACUGAGCGAAAGCAUUAAGUGAUCCACCU
rnacentral:rRNA from 1 species